AAAACUACUUGGCUCAUCUGGAUUACUUGUUUGGUAUCUUGCACUUCCCAGCACAAGAGCAUAGAACUUGAGGAGAAGGUAAAUAAUGAAGCGUGAAGAAAAUCUUCUGAUUAAUCAUUGGCAGAGAGUGGAUCAUACUAUGCACUGUUUGCUUGUGUACAGAUGUCUGAAGUUAGAAAAUGCUGGAGGACCUCAAGAAUACAUGUGAGAACUCGCUGAUAUCCUAGUGAACUUGUGAAACUGCAUGCCUGCAAGCCUUCCUUUGCUGCAAAGACCACAUGGGGACAACCAAAUCUGUCAAAUGCCAAUGCUAGCAAAGAGCUUCCAGCUCUGGUUUCUCAUUUAUUACAAUGUAGAUAAAUUGAGCACAUGUCCCACCAAGUGUAACACUCCUUGACUCCAGGCCUGUAUAUAGGGAAAAUGAGUGGGAUUUUUGCUGCUGAGAAAAUUACAAUUGUUGUAAAACAACUGAAAUAGUUUCUUAUAAAGUCUAAGUGCUGCUGUAUUUUAUCCAGAGUAGAAGCUUGAUUAACACACAUAUAUUUCAUUUUAUUCAAUAUGUGUUUAUGAAAAUCUUAAUGUUUGAAGCUGGGUAGUUCUGGGUCCAGAUAUGGUUUUUCCAUGCCCUUGGACAAUUAAAUAACCUUAUCUUUUGUCCUUGUUGUUAUAGUGUACUAUGGACAUUGAACCAUGGCGGCAGGGAGAAUGCAUCAAGUGCGGUGUCCCAUUAUGUUUCCCAGAAUUCCUUUCCUAUCACUUUUCCUCAUGCUUAAUCAUCUCCUAAUUCAUUUUAGCUUCACUAAUUAGGCUGGUUUAAACAUUAAGUCAGACAUGGCAGGAGUGUUUCAGGGAUUUAAUGGCGUGAACAACAUCCUGUAGGAUUCCUUUAAAGCAAUGUGUAACCAUUUGACAAAAUACUGCCAUUCAUGAAGUCCCACAGUGAGAACUCUGAAGACAAGUAAACAAAUUCUAAAAGCCAAUUUUAUGCCACUUUUUCAUUUAUCUAUUCUUUGUGUGUGAAAGACAAUGUGUAUGGCAUGAUAUGCAUGUGGAUGUCACAGGGCUACUCGGGGAAGUCAGUGCUCUUUUUCUAUAACGUGGACUCCAGGAAUGAAACUCAGGUCAUGAAGCUGGAAGGCCUCAGAGCAACCUACAAUCAUUAUAAUGUUUUAAGUUUAGAAUCCUGUGUGGAUAUGCAUUCACAGCUAUCUUGCCUUGGUCACCAUUUUCAAAUUUAUCAUAAUUGACUACGAACUCCACAACGACCCGAGUCCACUACGGUGCUUCUGAGAAUCUGCCCCAAUUUGAAAACCCAAAGUUCCAUUAAUUUAAUUCUGAAGAUAGGUUAAUCAAAAUAGAUUUGUUUAUAAACCUCACUUUUGUUCUUAUGUAAAGUUUGUUCCCCAUAGAAGAGUUCCAGAAAAAAAAUCAGUACAACCGUUGGUUUUUCUCACACACAUGAGAAGAAAUAUUUUUGUGUGUCUCUGUAUCUCUGUGUGUGUGUGUGUGUCUGUCUGUCUGUCUCUGUAUGUCUCUCUCUCUGUCUCUCUCUGACACACACGCACACACACACACACACACACACACACACACACACACACACAGAUAUUUGCAAGAAGUCUGUUAAAGCUAAGUAUACAAUUCUGUAUCCCAGGGUUCCUAAUCCAUGAAUCUCCAUGAUAAUUAUAUGUAAUCAACUCUCUAAAAGGCUUAAAAGCAAAAGAUAUAUAAACAAAGCUUUUACUUACCCCUAAUUUGAUUCCUGGCUAGCCAGCAGGACUCUAUAGUCUAUGGUUAUUAUCCACGUGUAUUUUCAUUUAAAGCAUGCCAGCUGGGGCUACUUCUCAUUUGAGAAUUCUAACAGCUGUCCCAGUGGAAAAUAAAAGCAUGCCACUUUAAAUUUUAGAACGGGACCAAAGAAAUGUCAGAUUCCUACCUCAGAUGCACAAUGACACACAUUAUAUUUGACCUGAACACUUCCUAUCAAUUCAUGUUCAUGAGAAAAUUACACUUUGGAUUUACUUGAUUCCUGUUCUUUAUCCAAUUUCUUACAUAAAGAGGCAAUUUGAUCUUCUUUUCAAUGGCCACUGUAUAAAUAUAUUCAACACCGGCAUGCUAAUAUCUUGAAAGCUGGAUGGUAUUUUUGAAAUGCCAGCUAUGAUAUUCCCUUCUCUCUUCUUACACCACAGAAUAUUGCAAUCUAAUCAAUUUUAAUUAGUUGUACUGGGUCUCGUCUAAAACACAUCAGACUUCACCAGUGACAUAUUUAAAAUGAGAUUUAAAUAAGAUUUUCCCCGUAUAAAAUUCUGAGGCCUAGCCAUAUAGCUGUCAUAAGGUUUUAUUCUCUUUGUCCUAUUGACCUUGGGAGCAUAUUAAAAAUAUCUCCUAUUUAUCUAUGUGACGAAGUGGGUUACUUUAACUUUUAACAGUACUUUACAGGAUUUAUCACAGACCUCUAAAUACUCAAUUUCUGAUUUGUAUGAGUUUUAAUUGGGGAAUGAGCUUUAUCCUUUUCUUCUUUAAGAUGCAAUUUUGUUGUGCAAUAUCAACAAAGACAAGAAAGGAAGGCAUUUGGUUGGGUUCUAACAUUGCAUGCAGCUGUGUUGAAAUUUAUGCUUUAAGAGGAAAGCAUAUACUUCUAUAGUUUCAGCAGACAUCCUAUUCUUGGUGAUAUAAGAUAAACUUCUACGAUGAAUACAGACAGCGGUGAGGAGAUGUCUUAAUGGCUAAAAUGACUGACACAUUAUGAACAGGACCAAUAUCAGCAUAAAUGUUUGAUGGGCUUGGCAGCCCACUUGCCUCAGAGGGUAAAAACAAGAGAUUCUGUAGCAAGAGAACUAGUAUGUCUAGCUCAAACUGGUGAGCUCCAGAUUUGAAUGAGAGAACAAAUAGCAGAAUAGCUGAACACACAUGUUUGCUUACAGGUGAAGAGGAACAUCAUCAUUCAUGGGCUACAGAUGAGCAUACAUGAGAAAAUGAGAAAUGUAAAAAAUUAAAGAAGACAACAAAAACUUAAAUAUGACAAAAAGAACACAAAUGAGAAAUUAGCAUGAAACCUGUUUAGAAAAAUUUUCAGAUAGAAAACUAUCUGAAUUUGGUCUAGGCAAUAAAUAUUACUAUGUAUUUAUAAAAAAAUUACAACUUAGUUAAAGCAAGUGAAUAUUUCUAGCACAAAAAUGGCAUAUCCAAUGAUAUGCAACAUUCAUAAGAAAUAAAAUAGUCAUUGUAGUCUAGAGUAGAGUCAACAACUCCAAACAGUUGCCUCAAUUGUAAAUAAAAUUUUAUUUGAACAGGAUCAUGUUUGUUUAUUUAUUUAUUUAUUUAUUUUUGAAUUCACUAUGACUUUUGCGCUACAAACCCAAGACUAAGAAAGGGAGAUCAUCAUGUUUGUGAAGACUAAAUUAUUUACUAUCUGGAAUUUUAAAAACAGAAAAAAUUAUUUUCAAUGCUUGAGCAUAAGAUGCACAUUGGACCAAGAAAACCAAAAUAUCAUGGGUAAUUAUAGAGCAAAUACUUUGAAUUUUCUUUGGCUAGUUUUCGGCAUGUGACCAAAUGUCUGGUCAUUGAGAAGACUAAGACAUUUGUGCAAUUUCUGAAUCACACAUUUAACUAGGAAGCAUGUGAUCAUCUGUUUCUUUAUUUUACUUACCUCUUAGGCAGCAUUUAGCCAUAUUUGGAAGAAUUGCUUUGGGGUUAAAUUUUGGAGCUAGUAACAAUGCUGGAUAUAAAUUAUAUAUCUCUGACCAAAAAGCUGAGAAAGGCACGAUACAUUUCAUCCUUCAUUCAUUUAGCAGGUUAGAGGUGAUUAUUAUCAAUCAACAUACACUAUGUGCAAUAUAGCUUUUCAAUGUAAAGGUACAAUUAUGACAUUCAAAGACAUUCAAAGAGAGAAAUCAUCAACAAAAGAACCAUAUCCAUAUGUACCCCAAGACUCAUAAGUAGUAAGAGAAUGAUGCUCCAACCAGAAAACUACCAUUGGCAGGAAACACUUCUUAAUUAUGAAAGAAUUAGAUAACUGGGUGGAGGUGACACUCCCAGCUCUGUUAGUAUACAGGCCAUAACUGUGAUACUAGGGUACUAAAAUUGGGGGGCUAACGGAUUUCACCACAUAACCACAGGGAUCAUCAGAGAUUUUUACAAAUUAGUUCUUUACCAAGAAUGACAGGAAUAGCUGAGAAUUUUGUUUUCAUGUGUUUACAUAAGGAAUAGA